rnacentral:rRNA from 1 species
GGAGUUAGCCGGUGCUUCUUCUGUGAGUGAUGUCCUUCCUGCCGGCUAUUAACCCGCAGGCCUUCUUCCUCACUGAAAGUGCUUUACAACCCGAAGGCCUUCUUCACACACGCGGCAUGGCUGGAUCAGGGUUGCCCCCAUUGUCCAAUAUUCCCCACUGCUGCCUCCCGUAGGAGUCUGGGCCGUGUCUCAGUCCCAGUGUGGCUGAUCAUCCUCUCAGACCAGCUACGGAUCGUCGCCUUGGUGAGCCGUUACCUCACCAACCAGCUAAUCCGACAUAGGCUCAUCCGAUAGCGCGAGGCCCGAAGGUCCCCCGCUUUCCCCCGUAGGGCGUAUGCGGUAUUAGCCUGGGUUUUCCCCCAGGUUAUCCCCCGACUACCGGGGCAGAUUCCUAUGCAUUACUCACCCGUCCGCCGCUCGCCACCAGGGAGCAAGCUCCCCGUGCUGCCGCUCGACUUGCAUGUGUAGCGUGCCGCCAGCGUCAUCUGAGCCAGAACUACAACUACUGA